rnacentral:rRNA from 1 species
GGUUAAGCGACUAAGCGUACACGGUGGAUGCCCUGGCAGUCAGAGGCGAUGAAGGGCGUGCUAAUCUGCGAUAAGCGCCGGUAAGGUGAUAUGAACCGUUAUAACCGGCGAUACCCGAAUGGGGAAACCCAGUGUGAUUCGUCACACUAUCAUUAACUGAAUCCAUAGGUUAAUGAGGCGAACCGGGGGAACUGAAACAUCUAAGUACCCCGAGGAAAAGAAAUCAACCGAGAUUCCCCCAGUAGCGGCGAGCGAACGGGGAGGAGCCCAGAGCCUGAAUCAGCAUGUGUGUUAGUGGAAGCGUCUGGAAAGGCGCGCGAUACAGGGUGACAGCCCCGUACACAAAAGCGCAUGUGCUGUGAGCUCGAUGAGUAGGGCGGGACACGUGGUAUCCUGUCUGAAUAUGGGGGGACCAUCCUCCAAGGCUAAAUACUCCUGACUGACCGAUAGUGAACCAGUACCGUGAGGGAAAGGCGAAAAGAACCCCGGCGAGGGGAGUGAAAAAGAACCUGAAACCGUGUACGUACAAGCAGUGGGAGCACCCUUCGGGGUGUGACUG